rnacentral:rRNA from 1 species
AUUGAACGCUGGCGGCAUGCUUUACACAUGCAAGUCGAACGGUAACAGGCCUUCGGGUGCUGACGAGUGGCGAACGGGUGAGUAAUGCAUCGGAACGUACCCAGAGGUGGGGGAUAACGCAGCGAAGGCUGUGCUAAUACCGCAUGUGAUCUGAGGAUGAAAGCGGGGGACCGAGCAGCAAUGUUUGGCCUCGCGCCUUUGGAGCGGCCGAUGUCGGAUUAGCUAGUUGGUGGGGUAAAGGCCUACCAAGGCGACGAUCCGUAGCUGGUCUGAGAGGACGACCGGCCACACUGGGACUGGGACACGGCCCAGACUCCUACGGGAGGCAGCAGUGGGGAAUUUUGGACGAUGGGCGCAAGCCUGAUCCAGCAAUGCCGCGUGCGGGAAGAAGGCCUUCGGGUUGUAAACCGCUUUUGGCAGGAACGAAACGGUGUCCGCUAAUACCGGGCGCUAAUGACGGUACCUGCAGAAUAAGCACCGGCUAACUACGUG